rnacentral:rRNA from 2 species
CCUCAAAGAUGAUGAGGUUAAUAGGUUCGAGGUGGAAGCAUGGUGACAUGUGGAGCUGACGAAUACUAAUCGAUCGAAGACUUAAUCAAAUU